rnacentral:rRNA from 1 species
CCUACGGGUGGCAGCAGUGGGGAAUAUUUGGCCAUGUGCGCCCGCCUGCCCCCGCCCCUCCUCUUUCAUGAAGAAGGCUUUCGGGUUGUAAACUUCUUUUAAGAGGGAAGAGCAGAAGACGGUACCUCUUGAAUAAGCCACGGCUAACUACGUGCCAGCAGCCGCGGUAAUACGUAGGUGGCAAGCGUUGUCCGGAUUUACUGGGUGUAAAGGGCGUGUAGCCGGGCUGACAAGUCAGAUGUGAAAUCCGGGGGCUCAACCCCCGAACUGCAUUUGAAACUGUUGGUCUUGAGUAUCGGAGAGGCAGGCGGAAUUCCUAGUGUAGCGGUGAAAUGCGUAGAUAUUAGGAGGAACACCAGUGGCGAAGGCGGCCUGCUGGACGACAACUGACGGUGAGGCGCGAAAGCGUGGGGAGCAAACAGGAUUAGAUACCCGAGUAGUC